AUGGGCACACCACUGGAUUUAAGUUUAAUCUGCCUGGUGCUCAACACAGUAGCUUGGCUGUGGGGCGUGCUGACUAAGCUAGUCUUGGGGUCCUGGAGAAGGGGGCUGGAGGGGUGCCCACAGCCACCCCACCGCCGCAUUAGUUUUGGGCUGGCAGGGACACAGGAGGCCCAGCUGACACUGGAAACAGUUAUCCAGACACUGGAUAGCAAAGUCUUGUGCCAAGAGAAGUGCUUGGUCACGUGGGACCUGGCCCAGGACAUUGAGCCGGUCAGCCUGCCUGCCCGCAUUAGGUAGAUCAUCACCCGCAACCUCUCCCGGCCUGAGAUCCCAGUCCCACUGCAGGCCACAGAGAUGACACCAUUGCUGUCUCUGCAGGAGGAGAACCAGCUGAUACAUCAGCAGGAGCUGUCCCACAUGGAGGACCUGCUGGCCCAAAGCAGAGCCAAACGAUGAGCCUUCCAUUAUGUACAAUGUGCUGGAGCCUGGGGAGCUGGAGACCCAGGAGCCCAGGGGACUGGUAGGGCAGAGCAUGGAGUUGUGGAGGCAGCUGCAGGAGGAGCAGGCCUCUUACAGGCACAAGCUGCAGGCCUACCAGGAGGGCCAACAGCGACAGGCCCAGCUUGUGCAGCGGCUGCAGGCCAAGAUUCUCCAGUACAAGAAGAGAUGCAAGGAGCUGGAGCAGCAGCUGCUGGAGAGGUCCAGAGAGCUGGAGCAGCAGCCGCUGAGGGGCACAGAGCACAGCCAAUACCUGGAGAGAGCCCUCAUCUGGCUGGAAGAGGAGCAGCAGAGGAGUGCUAGCCUAGCCCAGGUGAAUGCCGUGCUCUGACAGCAGCUGGAUCAGGCAGGCUCAGCCAACCAGGCUCUGUGAGGACAUAUGAAAGGUGACCAGUGAUUGGACACAUGCAGCCACAAGGAGCUGGAGCAGCGGGAGGCGGCAUGGAGGCUCAAGGAGGAGUCCUCCAAUGCUUACUUUUGCAACGAGCACAGUCGCGUGCUACUCCUCUGAAGCCAGUGGUGGGGAUCCGGUGGCUGGUCAGCAAGGUGAAGAUGUCCACUGAGAGAGACCUGCUGCAGCUAGAAAGGGGGCUGGCUGGGCUAUCAUGCCCUGUCCAGUAGGCGGGCCUGCUACUGAGCACCAACCUGCGGCCGGCGGAGAGCUGGCCCAAAGCCACCUUGGAGAAGCAGGCCCUGCUGCAGGCCCAGCUGGAGGAGCAGCUGAGGGACAGGGUGCUCUGCAAGAAGGAGUUAGACCAGCAGCAGAUACAAAGUGAUCUGGACAAGGACAACCUCAGUGCCAGAGUGACAGAGCUGGCCCUGGCAGUGGAGCCUCUUCAGAAGCAGAAUCUGGAGAAGGAUCAGGUUAACAAGGCCCUCACCAAGAAGCCUGAGGCCCUGGAAUCCCUGCGGCGACAGAAGCAGGUGGCCCUCGAGACAGAGGACGGAGAAGGGCUGCAGAAGACCCUGAGGGACCUGGCACAGACGGUCCUGUUAGACACUGAGAGCGGAGUCCGGCUGAGCGACUGCAAGCGCACAGCGGAUGCGUUGGAAGGCAGCCUGCAGAAGCUCUCCGGAUAGCAGAUCCCAUCCCCAUCGCAGCGCUCCUCGCUGGGCUGUGGCCAUUAGUCCCGCUGAGGCCCGUCUCUGGCCAGGUCAAAAUCCGCCUUGCUCGCCCUGAUCCAUUCCGCCCCGCACAAGGGCCAACUGCAGGUCCAGGACACGUGCAGGUGCUAUGAGACAAGCCAGGACCUGCUGGCCACCCUGGGGAAACAGCUUAGCGACAGUGAGGGUGAGUGGCGGGCCCUAGAGGAACAGCUGCACCACCUGUGGGACAAGACCAAUGGUGCCAUGCAGGCCCACGAGGACACCCAGUGCAAGGUACAGCGGCUGCGAAGCGCCAAUUAGCUCCUGAGCGGGGAGAAGAGCACCCUGGUCCACAGCCUGCAGGUGGCCCAGCAGCAGUCCGAGGAACUGCGGCAGGAGUGGGAGAAGCUGCAGGCUGCCCAGGAAGAGCUGUGGUGUUGGACCGGCUGGAGGAAGAGCAGGAGCGCACGAUGCAGUAUGCUACAAGGGUGCACCAGGAGCUUGAGCGCACUAUAAACAGCUAGAGCAGCUGGAAGAGAAGCGCUGAGGCCUGGCCAAGGAGCUGGUUGGGGUGAGGGAGGCGCUGAGCUGCGCCACUCUGCAGCGAGACACACUGCAGGCCGAGAAGGACGAGGUGGCUGAGGCGCUGACCAAGGCUGAGGCUGGCCGCCUGGAGCUCGAGCUCUCCAUGAUCAAGCUGGGGGCAGAGGAGGCCUCCCUGCAGGACUCCCUGUCCAAGCUGAGCGCCCUCAAUGAGAGCCUCACCCGGGACAAAUUGGAUCUGAACAGCCUUGUCACCCAGCUGGAGGAAGAAAAGGCAGCCCUGCAGGGCCGGCAGCGGCAGGCGGAGCAGGAGGCCACAGUGGCGCAGGAAGAGCAGGAGGCUGCUGAAGGAGCUGCGGUUGGAGCAGGAGGUGGAGGGACAGGUCCUGGAGGGCGCCCUACGAGUGUCGGAGCAGGUCCACGAAGCUCUGGAACAACAGUUCCCCACGCUGCGUCAUAAGCUUAGCCGGCUGCAGGAGCAGCUACCCCAGCUCUCCCGGCAGCUAAGCCUGCGGGAGCAGGAGCUGGAGCAAGCCCGGCGGUAGGCACAGCGGCAGGCGGAGGCGCUGGAGCGAGCGGCCUGGGAGAAGGAGAUGCUAGCCAAGGAGCUUACUGGCCCGGCCAUGAAACUGGCGGCCAUGGAGCAUGAAGGCAGGACCGUGUCAGAGAAGGCCACAGGACUGCGCUUGGAGAAAGAAGCCCUGGAGGGCAGCCUGUUUGAGGUGCAAAGGCACCUGGCUCAGCUUGAGGCCUGCCGGGAGCAGCUGGAAGCCGAUGGGCAGGCCCCGCUGCUGGCCAAGGGGACCCUGACUGUGGAGCUGGCGGGUCUGUGGCAGCAAAUAAUAGCUACACAGGAGAAAGUCAGUCUAGACAAGGAGCUGAUGGCCCAGAAGCUGGUGCAGGCUGAGCAGGAGGCCCAGGCUCCUCUGCGGGAGCAGCGGGCAGCCCACACGGAGGACUUGCAGCGUGAAAAGGAGGCAGCAUGGCGGGAGCUGGAGGCCCAGCGGGCCCAGCUGCAGAGUCACCUGCAGCGCCAACAGGAGGAGCUGUUGUCCUGGCUGGAGGCUGAGAAGGAAGAGGUGAGCGAGAAGAUCGCUGUCCCGCAGCAGGAGCAUGACGAGGGCCUCGACCUGACCUAGAGCAAGAAGCAGCAGGCCUUGUCUCUGAAGGAGUGAGAAGGCGGUGCUGUCAGAGAAGUUGAUGGAUACAGGACACAGUCUGGCCACCGUCCUCUGGAUAUGGAGUGGCAGAAACCAGAUGCCCAGAGCCGGCAGGAGUAGGACCAGAGCACCGUGAGAGCUCGGAUGUCUGAGAUGCUGGACGUACUGGCCCAUCUGAAGGAGGCUGCUGUGACCCACGCCCAGGAGGUGAGGAGGCUGCAAGAGCAGGUGAGACCUGGGCAAGCAGCCGGACUCCUGUCUUCGUGAGGCAGAAGAGCUUCAGACCCAGCUGUGCCUGCUGGAGGAUGCCCGUGAUGGGCUUCGGCAGGAGAUUCUGGAGGGCCACCACAAGCUGCGUGAGAACCAGGAGGGCCGCGAGGUACAGUGCCAGGAGUGGGGCAAGCUGUGGCGCAGCCUGGUUAGGGCACCAACAAGCGUGAGGCUCUGCGGUGCUCCAAUGAAUAGCUGAGAUUCGCAGUGAAGCAGGCAGAGAAAGAGCGCAUCAGCCUAAAGUUUGCCAAUGAGGACAAGGAGCAGAAGCUGGCACUCUGAGAGGAGGCACAAGCAGCACUGGGCAAGGAGGCCUGGGAGCUGCGGACUGGGCUGCAGGAGGUGCAGUGUUCACAGCUGGAGGCUCAGUGGGAGCUGCAGGAGCUCUGGCAUCAGAUGAAGAUGCUGGACAGUGAGAACACCAGGCUGUGCCGGGAGCAGGCGGAGCUGCAGAGCCGCCUGGUGCUGGGCCAGUGGGCAGAGAAGGAGAGCCGACAGGAGACCCUGGGCCUCCCGCAGAGGCUUCUGCAGGGCGAAGCCAGCCUGGAGGCGAUGCAGGAGAAGCUCCAGGUACUCCAGUGGAAGCUGCAGGAGCAAGAAGGUGAUUUCCGGUCCCGUGAGCCAGGCCUGCUGGGCUCCCUGGAGGAGGUGCGCGCACCACAGAAAAACAGCAGCUAGACCACACCUGCGGCCUGGAGCUGAAGGUGGAGUCGGCGCGGGCCCAGGCUGCAGAGCAGGGCCUGCGACUGAGCGUGGCUGAGGACUAGGCACAAGGCCUGGAGGCUGAGCUGGCCCACGUGGAGGUGCAGUGGCAUGCGGUAGAGGCCUAACUGGGUGGCCUGCGCUCGGCUGGCUCUGUGCUGGGGCCUCGGCCUUGAUCUCACGCCCAACCCAGCCCCGCGACCAAUGCCCGGCUCCCCAGCUUGGGACGCGCCCCGCCUGAGGAAGUGGGGAAGGGCUCAGCAGCUCCAGCACCUUAGAAUGCAGCCCUGGGUCCUGGCCACCAUCUGCAGGACCUACCACCUCCCGGAAUCCUCCACACCUGGUCCCAGAGGCAGUGCUCGGGGCCCUCCGAGAAUUCUUCCAGUAGCUGCGGAGUGCCCAGAGAGAACCGGACAAACUGCAGAUCCAGAACAGUAGUACCCUAAAUCGCCAGCUGGCCAAGAUGGAGGCCGAGAGGGACACCGCAACCUCGAGAGCCAGGCAGCUAGAGAAGGCAGUGGCUGAGAGUGAGGAAGCCCGGCGCAGUGUGGAUGGGCUGCUGAGCAGAGUCCAGGCGGAGUUGGUGCUGCAGGAGGAGUGUGCGGUGCAGUGAGCUGGAGCACCACGCCACGCUGGACCAGGUGGCCACACUGGAGAGAAGCCUGCAGCCACCAAGAGCGAGCUCCGGGCCAGCCAAGAAAAGAUUACCAAGACGAAGGCCAAGGAGACGAAGCUGGAGGGCGACAAGCUGUGCCUGAAGGAGGUGCUGGACGCCUCCGAGAGCCGCACCGUCAAGCUGGAGCUGCAGCGGCCCUAGCUUGAGGGGGAACUGCAGCGCAGCUGCCUGGUCUUGAGAAACCGCGAGGCCCGGGCCCACGCCCUCCAGGAUCGGGUGGCCUCCAUGCAGAGACAGGUAGCAGACAGCGAGGUGAGCGCAGGGACCCUGCAGCUGACAGCGGAGCGGCUGAACCGGGCCCUGGCACAGGUGGAGGAAAGCAAGGGGGCCUGGCAGGUCAAGGUGUUGGGCCUGACAGAGGCCCUGGCCCAGAGCAGCACCAGCCUCAACAGCACCCAGGACGAGAACCUGCAUCUACAGAAGGCUCUGACUGCCUGUGAACAUGAGCGCCCAAGUGCUCCAGAAAUGGCUGGACGCUGUCGGGCAGGCACUGUCGGAGGCACGGAAGCAGAGCAGCUCCCUGGGUGAGCAGGUGCAGACGUUUCCAGGCAAGGUGGCUGACCUGAAGCUGCAGCGGGCAGAGCCGGAGGGCCAGCUACAACACUUUCAGAAGGUGCUGUGGCAGUGGCAGGAGGGCAAGGCUGCAGCCCUGCACACAGUCCAGAAGCUGCAGGACAAGCAGAGGCUGCUGCAGGAACGCCUGGGCAGCCUGUAGUUCACCCUGGCUCAGCUGGAAGCCAAGAAGCAGGAGGUGGAACGCUCAGCCCUGCAGCUGAAGAAGGACCUCGUGGCCCUCAGGAGGACACUAGACAAGGUGGAGUGAGAGAAGCUUUGCAGCCAUGAGGACACAGUGCCCCUGAGCUCAGAGAAGGGCAGCCUGGACUGGACCCUCAUGGGGGCUGAGCUAAAGCUGGCCAAGGCCCAGAGGCAGAUCCAGCAGCUGGAGGCACAGGUGGUGGCGCUGGAGCAGAGCCACAGCCCAGCCCAGCUUGAGGUGGAAGCACAGCAGCAGCUGGAGCUGCAGCAGGAGGUGGAGGCUUGUGCAGUGCCCAGGCACAGGCUGAACACACCCUAGAGGCACAAGAGCUGGCCACCACCAGAGGGUACACGGGCUGGAGGAGCCGGUGUCCACACUGAAAGGACAGUUGCAGCAGGAGCUUCGAAGUUGCUCAGCAUCCUUCUCCUCACCCUUUGGCCCCCCAGAGAAAUGA